ensembl:snRNA U7 U7 small nuclear RNA
AAGUGUUACAGCUCUUUUAAAAUUUAUCUAAGAGGUUUUCAAUUUUUUAACUGGAAAACUCCC